UAGAUAAUAAUAUUGCUGGCUGGUAUUCUUCUGCUCUCCGGGAGUACAUGGAAGGAUUUGAACCUGGUGCACAUCAGUUAUUCAGCAUCGAAUUAUGAACAGUGUUUUCCAACUCUGCCUCGUUACAGCUAGGAAGACUGAGGCGUCCUGGGUUAUCAUAACGCAUCACCGAUGAAUCUGACUCGAUUUUUUGCACCCCCGGAAUAUUUGCUUCGUCCGUUGGCAAAUACCAUUAUUGUUAUACAUCUCGCAAUAAAAACCGAGUGUUGAUCAAAACAUUGCACAACCAACUCACAGAUUAAUGAGUUCAAAUUCGCGGCUGGCAGUUUAUGACAGUUUUGGAGCAAACCAUUCUAUUCUGAAAAUAGUUAAUAAUGUAGAUCAGCCUCGGUCUACACAGCCAACCCCUCAGUUUACCACGCUGUCAAGAAUAUGUUCAAGGUCAAUGUGGCUCAGUCUCAAAUUGCUGUCUACCAACCAGUUCACUACGAAGUCAAAUGAACGUGAUUCAACCGAAGAUCAUAGAACACCAAUCAGUUCACCCAGCUGUCAUGAAUAGCUAUCAUAGAUUCAAUCCCUGAUCACACAAUCCACCAAUCAGUCCACCUAACUGUCAGGAAUGUGUAACAUAUCAAUCUAGCUCAGUCUCAGACCAGUGUCCACCAAUAAGUCUACCUCACUGUCAGGACUACAACCAGAAAAAAUUUGGUCAAGAUUCACGCCUCAAGUCCCACACCUCAUUAAUCAUUUCAUCCAUGUAUUGGGAAUUAGUAGCAGCUUCGAACCACAGUUCAUCUCAGUUUGAUUUAACAUUGGCUCAAGAUUCUGGUUCUGAUGAUAGAACAUCACGUGAUGGUCGGUGAAUGUGUAAUAAACUUAACCAUCCAUGUUAAGCUCAUCGUAUACUAAUUUAUUCACUAGUAAGGUGAACAGAUUCCUCAGCAACGAGAGAUUUUUUUCACCAAAUUAGCAACUGAUAUCAUAUAUCUGAUACACAAACUUGAUUUACUUACGUGGUUUCCAAAUUCUUCAAGUUUAUCAUCACAGAACAUACAAUUACACAACCACUGCCAAAAAUAAAUGAAUAAAUAAAUAAAUACAUAAACAAACAAACAUAUAAAUAAAUAUAAUAAAUAAAUAAAUACACAAACAAACAAAUAUCUUUUGUGUUGGAAAGUUUAUGCAGAUUUUCAGACUCUAGAAAAUCGAAAGAUACACUUCAUCUCUGUUGGCUCUUACACUACAUGUACAAACUCCUACUCCGCGGUCGGUACUCGUUGAUUCCAUGGAUGAAAAAGACACUGGCCACGCCCUCUGGUGAAACUUCUUACUUGCAAUGUUUUCCUUCUCAGUGUCUAAUAAAAAACAAAAAAAACAAAACAACCAUUCUGUUUCCCCUCUUACCUACUUUUAUUUUAAAUAUUUUUAACUACAUUUAAAAGAAAAUCCAGAACGCAAUUUCUUGUUCUUUUUUUUUUUCUUCCUUUUUUCUUUCUGUUUUACUUCGAAUGAGAUUCAAGAGAAUCCAUGAGACGAAAAAUCUUCGGUGAAACAAAAAAUAGACGCUGAACUGGAUCGAUUACAAAAUCAACAAGCCGCUUUUACAGAAUUACACUUACGAGGUGAUUUGACCGCCAUCUACCGGGACAAUUUGGCUGUUGUCGGAAUGGGAUAAAUGGAAAUGACGUU